CUUUAUGGCCAGGCAACAGGGGAUGGCUCUUACUGUCGAUGCCUUGUCAUCCACAUAAUGGCAGCAACAAAGCUCCCAAGUGCUCAUUGCUUUUGUCAAUAUUUGCAAAAAUGCCAGUGCUACUCAGAGAGAGGAGGAGGCAGGAGGGGGUGAGAUGAGUUAGGGUUACAUAAAACACAAUGCAACCAUAGUAAAUUCAUAUCUACUAUUUUAUUCAUAACCACUGCAAUGCCAGAAAUAAAGCUUAAUGGUGUAACACUAGAAAACGUUGACCCUUUCCACUACCUAGGAAGCCACCUCUCCACAAAAGCCAUCAUCAGCGCCAAAAUAAACACUGUAUGAGCUCUGCAAGUGCAGCAUUUUUUAGUGAAGCAGAGAAUAUUUGAGGAUUGGGGCAUUUGUAGCGAUACCAAGAUGUUUGUUUAUAAAGCUCUUGUCCUUCCAACUCUAUUGUACACCUGCAGAACAUGGACUGUCUACAAAUGUCACUCUCAAUUUCUGGAACAAUUCCAUCAGUAUUGCCUUUGAAAAAGAUCUCACAAAUCUCUUGGGGAGGCACACAGACAAAUGUCAGCAUUCAGGAAGAAGCAAAGACCACCAGCAUUGAAGCAAUGAUCCUCCGCCAUCAAUUUUGUUGGACCCGCCAUAUUGUCUGAAUGCCUGAUCACUAUCUCCCAAAAGCUGUUACUCUACUCUCAACUCAAGAAUGAAAAAUGAAAUGUUGGUGGACAGGAAAAUAAAUUUAAAGAUGGUCUUUAACCUUAAAAAUGUGGAAUAAACACUGAAAACUGGGAAGCGCUGGCCCUCGAGCUUUCUAACUGGAGGUUAGCUACUAUCAACAGAGCUCUGAAUUUUGAAGAGGAAAGAAUAGAGAGAGAAAAGGAGAAAUGUGCCAAGAGGAAGGCAUAUCUAGCAAACAUUUGUCAGGACCUUCCUUCUAGAAAUGUAUGUCCCCACUUUGAAAGAACAUGUGGAUACCAUCACUAACAGACCCACCCUGGGAAGACAAUGAGUGAUAGCCUAUGAUAAUGAUUAGUAGUAGUACACUGGAGUUAUGGAUGCAGAAUACUCAUGAAAGUGGAAAAACUGCAAAUAAAAUGACUUUUUUUAAAACUUGAGAGAAUAGUUGUCAAGAAAUCUCUAAAUCAUCCAUUAAGACUUUAUGAUGUUUAAAGAUGACCAAAGAAUUGUGCUGGAAGACCUACAAAUGCCUAUAGAAAUAUUCUCUUUAUGAAUGCCUAGGUCAGAAAUGGAGAUGAGCACCACCCCCCAGAGUUGGACAUGACUAGACUUAUUGUCAAGAAAAACCUUGACCCUUACUAGAUCAGAACUUUUUAAACAUUUCAUGUUUGCAACAUACUUUUCAGAUGUGCAUCGUUUUGUGACACAGUAAUUCAGUUUUACUAGCAAACCAGAGGUUAAAACAACCCUUUAUAAGAGAUACUGACAUAUACAUAAAUUGUAAUAAUUAAAUGUAUUGGGACACAAUAUAUCUCAUGAAAAACUUGCAUUUAUAUAUAUUUUAAACAAUAUAAUUUAUUACUUAUUUCACAUCGACUCAGAGGUUUCUCAUUACGUCCAUGUAACACACUGUAGCUGACACACUAAUGUCCUGACACAGUUUGAAAAGCUCUGGUCUAGGUCCUCCAACACGAGGAAGUGGACCAUAAAGAAUUGUGCUGAAGGACCUAGAGAGUCCUCGAAAGAACAUAUUAAUCAAAUCUAUAAAUAAUCAAAACUACAAAAGUUAAACCUGCAAAUGUGGAUGGCUGACUUAUUUCCAUGCCAUUGUUUUGUCUCAGAAGUCAGAGCUGUUGUAGUAGCAGUAUUUCUUUGACACACAGAAGGCAGGAAAACAUAUAAGGAAGAGAGAGCAAUCUCCACCCAAAGAACUCAUACAGUCUAAAUAUAUACAAGGUAAGAGACAACAAAGGGAAGGAAGGGAGGUAAAGGAAACAGGAUGAAUUCAAGCAACAGCCAUAGAAUGUAGAUUAGUGAAUAAAGAUACUAUUCUGAAUAUUUUAAAUUCUUAGAAUAUGGAUAUGCUUUUUGUUAUAGUCUGAACUGUACCGGAGUCGCAUAAAAUUGGCAACAAAAUUAAUUGUGCUGUAUUGAUAGAGAACACAUAAAUUCAGGCUUCCUUCCGGAUUGUUGGCUUUGGGGGAUCCAAUGGGGACUUGUUUGUGUUUUCAUACUGAAACUUUGUGAAGAGCAAUAUACUUUGGUGGUGCUAAAAUGAAAAUUAAGCAAGAAUAACAACCACCCAAGUCAAAAUUAUACCAUCUCUAAUUUAGAGACAUAAAAGAAUCCAGUGUUACCUCUGAGAUUAAUUAGGAAGAAGACAUUUCUAGCAUGAGCUUUUCUGUUCACAGUCCAUGUUAUCAGAUACAAGAAAUGGACUGUGUCCAUGAAACCUUAUGCUAGAUUUUUCUUCUUCCUAGUUAAGUCUCAGAGAUGUUGCUGGAAUGCAUUGUGACUUUUUAUGCUAAAAAUAUUAAGAUGGUUGUUUUUUAAUCUGUCGCCUCCAUUUGCAGCUCCUUCUCAGCAACACUUUCUCUAUCACACGUGGAGGGGGGAACACAGCCCUCCCAGAGAGGAAGCCUCCCGUGUUGUGGGGGGAAUCCUCCAGCGACACUUUCACCCUGGUUGGGGGCAAGGCCUCCGCCUGAAAUCACACAAUGUCAUGUGAUGGCUGGUGUGGGACUCUGUCCAAAAGCUGUGGUGAAAGCAUCUUAAGAUGCUAAAUUCUCCCAUCUGAUGAGGUCCUUUAACUGCCCUGCUAGGAUUUGUAAACUUACAAUGGUAUCUUCCUUUAUUCAGUCUUCUCCCUUUCCUGCUGCCUUUUACUUUACCCAACAUUAGUGUUGAGUUUUUGUAUGGAAUUUCUGUUUGUUUUGUGUAGUUUCAUUCAUUUCGUCUCAUUUUUGUAUUUGUUCCCCUUAACAAAAAUGGGGUGCCUAUACAAACAGAAUUUUCAUCUGGCUUACGAAAAAACAACAUUUUUCAGAUCAUUGGCUGCAAUGGAAGGGCUUCCGAGGCUCAUCCCCCGCUCGGUUUUUGGGCUAGAGGGGUGAAAAUCGCCACACAUGGAGGGCAUUUCGACACCUUUUAGCCCAUCAACUUUUAAAAUGUGUGGGUCUUCCCCAGAGUACUAUUGUUAUUAAUAAUAAUAUUGGAGCCUCCGGUGGCCUAGGUGAUAAAAUCCUCGUGACUUGAAGGUUGGGUUGCUGACCUGAAAGCUGCCAGGUUCGAAUCCCACCUGGGGAGAGCGCGGAUGAGCUCCCUCUUUCAGCUCCAGUUCCAUGCGGGGACAUGAGGGAAGCCUCCCACAAGGAUGGUAAAACAUCAAAACAUCCAGGCGUCCCCUGGGCAACGUCCAUGCAGACGGCCAAUUCUCUCAUUCCAGAAGCAACUCCGGUUGCUCCUGACAUGAAAAUAAUAAUAAUAAUAAUAAUAAUAAUAAUAAUAACAACAACACCCAUUGGCACACAUCAGCUGUCAUGGGGAAGCAGCCUUCUUCCAGACUCAGAUUAGGGUCCCAGAAUAACUGUUGUUCUUAAUAUUAAUAUAAAAAUUAUUAUUAAGACCCAUUGGUACACAUCGGAUGUAAUGGGGAGGCACUCCUCUCCCAGACUCAGCUUAGGGUGUCAGAAUAACUGUUGUUCUUAAUAUUAAUAUAAAUAUCAUUAUUAAGACCCGUUGGUACACAUCAGAUGUAAUGGGCAGGCAGACCUCUCUGAGACUGAGCAUAGGGUACCAGAGUAACUAUCAUUAUUUAUAUUAAUAUUAUUAUUAACACGCAUUGGUACACAUCAGCUGAAAUGGGAAAGCAGCCCUCUGUCAGGAAAACAAAAGCAAGUACUAUGGCUUUCAUUUUCGUGUUGCUUCUUGUUUCCUAGGAAAAUGUCAUCAUUCGUUUUGUGUAGACAAAUGGUCAAAAUGAAACGAUAGCAUGAAGGAAAAAUUUUCACGCACAUCUCAAACCAACAUUAUUGUCAUUCCAAUUAACUAUGCCCUCUCAUCAGAUGCCAAACAUGUAAUAGUCUCAGUAUCUUCGAUUUUGACAUCUAAAAAGAGUUUGUUUUGAUUUGCUCUAAGACCCAUUUUCUUGACCACGGUAUUUACCAGAAUGCUUUUUAGACUAUUAAUUUAUCUUCCUGUCAGCUUUUUUUUUUACAGUUUAGGUUUCCCAAUCAUAUAUAGAAACUGGAAAUACUAUGACAAGGAUAGUCCUUUGUUAUUUUAUUAUAUAUCUUUACACUUAAUGAUCUUAUCAAGUUAUUUCAUAGCUGCUUUUCCAAUCCUUGGCCUUUUUCUGAUUUCUUGAUUACUGUAUAAUCUCCAUUUUAAUACAUGACUGAGCCAAAGUAUAGAAAAACUUGAUGUGGGUUAACUACAACUCCCAAAAUCAUGGGCCAAUACUCCCCAAAUCCCACCAGUAUUCAGUUGGCAAUGUUGGGUCUGUUCGCCAAGUUUGUUCCAGAUCCCUCAUCAGCUGGGUUGAGAGCUCUUUGGAUGCCGUUGAACUACAACUCCCACAUGCCAAGGUCAAUCACCUCCAAACCCUGUCUGUAUUUACUGUUAGCCACGUUGGGUCUGUGUGCCUAGUUGGGUUCAGAUCCAUCAUCGGUAGGGGGUCACUGGGUUCUCUGGAUGCAGGGAGAACUACAGUUACUAUCAUGUUGCCCCCUGUUGUAUCCCAGCCACAGGCUGGUCAGAUUCUAGAUGAAGAUGGAGGGGAUUCUGGGGAUUCUGGAUUUGGAAUUCAAGAUCAGCAGUCUGAGGCAGAAGCUAGCUCAGACAUGCAGUUGCAGGAUGAGCUGCUGAUUCCAGGAGAAACAGAUAACGGUCAAGCUGACAUGAGAAGUAUUGAGGGAGAGACUUCAGCCUUGGAAAAUAAUGAGGAUGAUGGUUUAGCUUCUGACCAGCAGGUGCAAGAUAACAAGGACUUAUCUAGACAGGACCGUUUGUCUUGGAUGGGUUCCCAGGUCCGUAGAAGUGAGCGUUUGGUGCGCAAACGUGAAUCUAGCUGUGGUAAACGUGAAUCUAGCUGUGGCAAACGUGAAUCUAGCUGUGGCAAAAGUGAAUCUAGCUGUGGGAAGAGGAAUGCAUUCCUAAGUUGUUAUUAAAGCAUGCUUUCACAGACUAUUCUUUGUCAGUGCAAUUUCAUCGCUUCAUCUGUGUGGAAGUUCUAUCAAGCCAGCAUUCUUGGAUUCUUGGGCCUUGUUCUUUGGACUAUUUGCUUUGUGGUUUAUCUUGGAUUCUUGGACCUUGUUCUUGGACUCUAUGGACUAAUUUUCACCUUGUGGAUUAUCUUGGAUUCUUGGUUCUUGUGCUUUGGACUCUAUGUAUUAAUUCUUUGCCUCAUGGAUUAUUGUUCCUGCUAUGCUCUUUGAACCUAUGGACCUAGUCUUUUGGAUUAAAUAGACAUUCAUGUACUUUGUGAAUCUCUUGGACCUAUUGACUCUUUCAUUACAACUUUGAACUACCUUUUGAUUGAUUGCUUAAUUUAUAUUCUGCUUUGCUUAAUAAAAACUUCAAAAGACUACCUGUGUGUCUGACUGGGUAUCUAUAGCAAGGUGAACUUAGCCUGAGGUGCGACACCCCCCCCCUAUAAAAACCCCACCAAUAUUCAAAGUUGGUCAUGUUGGGUAUUUGUGCCAAGCUUGGUCCAGAUCCAUCAGUUGGGUGCACAUUGCUCUGCCAAUGUGGGUGAACUAUAACUCCCAACCUUGGAUGUCAGUCCCUUGGAAACUCCACCAAGUUUGGCAUGUUGGGUAUGUGUGGCAAGUUUACUACUUCCAUCACCGGUUUGGUACAGGGUGCUCUCUGAGUGUUGGUGAACUACAACUCCCAGAAUUCAAAAACAGCCACCCCCAAUCCCACCAGUAUUCAAUGUUGGCCAUGUAGGUAGUAUGCUAAGUUUGGUGCAUAUCCAUUGUAGGUUGGGUUCAGAGUUCUCUUUGAUUGUAGGUGAACUAUAAAUCCCAGCAACUAAAACUCCCAAAUGGCAAAAUCAAUCCAACCCCACCCGUAUUCAGUUUUGGGCUUAUCGUGUAUUUGUGCCAAAUUUGAUUCAGUGAAUGAAAAUACAUCCUGCAUAUCAGAUAUUUACAUUACGAUUUAUAUAUAUUUUUCCUAAUUGCAACAUUCAUACUUGCCUCCAACAGACAAAAAAAAACUAAUCAGAAAUAUUGUAUAUUCACAACCUUUAGGAAAUAAUAUCCCCUGAUGGCGCAGCGUGUUAAAGCGCUGAGCUGCUGAACUUCUGGACCGAAAGGCCGCAGGUUUGAAUUGGGGGAGCGGAGAGAGCCCCCACUGUUAGCCCCAGCUUCUGCCAACCCAGAAGUUCAAAAACAUGCAAAUGUGAGUGCAUCAAUAGGUACUGCUCCAGCGGGAAGGUAACGCCGCUCCAUGCAGUCAUCCCACAUGACCUUGGAGGAGUCUACAGACAACACCGGCUUUUCGGCUUAGAAAUGGAGAUGAUCCCCAACCCCCAGAGUUGGACACGACUGGACUUAACAUCAGGGGAAAACCUUUACCCUUUACCUUAACGACCACCAAUUACUCAAUACGUUAUUUCCCAUACCACCAGACUUCGCCACAGCAACGCGUGGCCGGGCACAGCUAGUCUAUAUCUAUAUCCAUAAUAAAAGUGAAAACCCGUAUGUGUGUAUGUGGCAUAGGUGUCUGCUCCCACAGACAGCCUCAGGCCUCCACAAACAGGCUAUAGUUCUCAGUGCUAAGGAGCCACCAAGUCACUACCAUCCACUGACAUUGUGGUUACUGCGAGCACCAUGAACAUGUAGCCCAAACCCUGCCAAUGUCCUUCCCAAACACUAUGGCCCACCACCCAAGGAAUGCUUUCAUUUGGGGACCAUUUCAUACUAGAUUUUGCAUUUUCCUCCACCACAGGCAGGCAUCCUAGGGUUCUCCAUUGGUGUGAAAUUUGUAUGACCCCGUCUGCUGCCCUUCCCUUUCAAAUCUGUCUGUAGAAGAAACACAGCACAACUACACUUCCUGGAGGAGUUUCAGGGAUUGACUCCACAUGGUGGAAUUUGUAGUUCACCCUGCAUCAAGUCAGAGCACUGUGACUUCCGGUAGUGGCAAGAUGGCGGGUGCAGCAGAACGCUGAAGCUCUCCUUCAACUUCAGCGUUCUGACCUCUCCUAUCGCUUGGUAGGGCUUGUCCCUCCCCCCAAAACUGCUGGACGAAGGCAGUAGGGAGCAAAACCGAAGACCCUGUGUGACCUUGCGUGAGUCAACAGGUGAAGGUGGGCAAAGUGAGGAGAAGGUACCUUUCAGCUGGCAGGGGCAGAACGCCGCCACUAUUUUAAACAGCCAAGAAGCAAGGGGAGGAAGUUCUAAAGAAAAAAGCGAAGCUGCUUUGCGAAGGUAAAUUACCCGUUCAGAGGUGACUGGAAUAGAUCCCGGGAAUGACUGGAGACAAUAUGGGACCGGCGGGCCGUAGAAAGUGAUGGACUGUCGGGAGGAAAGAAGCGAAGGGCGCGAGGUGCGCGUGGAAGAGUCAGCUGGCCUAAAAAGGGUAUACGGCGUAUAGUGCGUGGCGGCGAGGCUGGAAAGAGAGGGCUGGAAAGCGAGGGCUGGAAAGCGAAACAAGCAAACACAAAGUGGCGUGGUCACGGUAGAAGAAACUAGGAGAAUUAAGAACUAAGAGAACAGAGAAAGCAAGGACACUAGACUUACUGAAGGACGAUAUUUGUUUGGAUAUUUGUUUGGAUCAUCUGGACCCGGCGGAGCAGCGCCCGACGAGGAGGCACGGAGUGGCAAGCGGAGCGAGAGGCGGUUUGGGAGAACAGAGGUCUCCAUAGGCGCGGGAGUGCGAGCGUGAGCGCGCGCGUACGUGCGCAGGGACGCUCGCGCAGCGACGUACGAGCAGCAGCGAUCACGUACGCGGGCGCGCACGCGUCACAGAGCAGAAGGUAGAGCGUGCAGCGCGGGCAGCUUCGCGGGAGAAAUUGGUGUAGUUGGUGAAAAGAGAAGAUAAGGAUUGGCGUGGGAGGUGAAAGGAGAAGAUAAGCCAAUUUGACUGUGCCACGGUAAGAACAAAGCUGAUCCAAAGCGGGAAGCAAUUACUGGAGAUACGGAAUAGUGCGGUUAUAGAAGAACGAGAAGGGUAAUACAAACGAAAGACUAUUCUUAUAAAGAAGUGAAGAGCGGUGAAGAGAAGAAGGGACAUCAGGGGUCUCGAAAGAAGCUGGGAACGGUGAAUGGUUAGGUAUUACCGAUAGCAGUGUAUGAAUGGAUAUCACCUGUGCUGUCCUGUAAUAUAUUGUAUUGUAUUGUGGGGUUCUGUACUGCUUAGGUGGGACCGGCAAACCUCAACUGGAAUUUGGAAUAGAGAUCCAAUAGGAUUCCUAUAAGAUUGGCAAGGUUAUAUUAGGGGUACAAUGGUAAUGGUCCAGUGUUUAUAAGUUCUCUAAUGAAAUAACAACUAACAGAUAGCCAACAAAUAAAAGUGCAGACAAACUAGUCGGGGGGAUUCAGUGAGUAGGAGGAAGCAGAAGGAUCAUAGUGGGUAAACAAAAUUCAAAAGUCAAAAUUCGUUAACUUUGGAUUUAAGCAACAAUAACUUUGCAUUUAGAUUUGACAGGCAGGGGUCAGUAGGUAUUCGGAGAUUCAGAUAUGAGCGCGGUAAAGGGCAAAAUGGAGAAAGAGAAGGAUAAGGACAGGGAAAAAAGAGGGGUAGGAAGAAAAGAUUCGCUGUCGGAUGAGUACAGUAUUAAAGAUGUAAUGUUUGAAAUCUUAAAAUUACAAACAGAGGUAAUUAAAAUUCAGGAAAAGCAAGAUAUACAAUUUAAUAAAGUCAAAGAGGAGAUGUUAAAUUUGAGGAAAGAAUUGAAGGAUGAAAUUCAAACAUUGGUGAAAGAAGAAGUUCAUAAGCUGAGGGAAGAGCUGGAAGUAACGAAACUAGAAGGUACAAGGAGGGCUGAAGAAAAUAGGUUGAUCCGUAAUAAUCAAAUAGAAAUGAGAAAGGAAAUGAAAACACUUGAUAAAGAGAUCAAGGCAAUUAAAAUGCAGCAGGAAAUUAUGGAAAUAAAAGAAAAAGAAUUAUAUCUUAGAUUACGGAAUGUACAGGAAGGAGAAAGUGAAAAUGUCAGAGAUGUAUGUACAGAUAUUAUAGCCGAAAUAAUUAAAAAAACAAAGGAGGGGACAGAGCAAGAGAUAGAGAGUGCAUAUAGGGCACAGUCUAGUUACUCAAAAAAACAUAACACUCCAAGGGAUAUUGUGAUACGUUUCAGUAAGAAGAAGACGAGGGAUGAUAUUCUGUUAAGUAACUCCAAGACCCCAACAUUCUAUAAAGGGGAAAGAAUAGCAAUAUUAAAAGAAUUGCCAAUUUCGGUCUUGGAAAGAAGACGCAAAUACUUAUUUCUAACUGAUGAACUUAAGAAAAGGAAUAUUAGAUUCAGGUGGGACAGAAUUGAUGGUUUGAUGUUAACGUGGGAAGGGGCGAGGAAAUGGAUAACAAGCGAACAAAGUGCAAAGUUGUUCUAUGAGAAAUAUCUGAAUAAGGAUAGCAAGACAGACAAAGUUAGAAAGGAGGAUAGAAAAGAAGAAUAUCAAGGACAAGGUAAAAACGAGGAUGAACAGAGAAGUGAAUGGUCUAUGAGUGACAAGGAUGACUCAGGGAGAAUGAAAAAAAGAAUUCGAGAAAAAUCCCCAGAGGAUCUUAUUAACUUAGCGGCAAAUAUUACGGAAAGUAAGGAGAGAGGAGAAGAAACUAAGAGAGAAGAUGGCAGUUCAUAGGCUUAAAAUAUACUCAAACAAUGUAAACGGUUUUAAUUCACCGAAUAAAAGAAAGAAAAUUUGGCAUCAUAUAAAAAAAGGGAAGUACGAUUUAAUCUGUCUGCAAGAAACGCACAUAGUACACAAGCACGGUGCAAAUUUAAUUCAAAAUGGCUUGGGAAAUAUGUAUUAUGCGUCGGACUCAGUAAAAAAAAGAGGGGUGGUGACAUAUGUGAAUAAUAAGAUUGUAUCGGAGAUAUCAUUUAAGGAUUCGGAAGGAAGAGUCCUAGGAGUCACACUUAAAAUAGGAGAUAGAAGAAUACUACUCUGCAAUAUUUACGCCCCAAAUGGCUGUAAAUCUAAAUUUGUCAGCAAUUUAUACCAAAAGAUUCUUGAGCAUGAAUACGAGGAUUUAAUAAUAGUGGGUGACUUUAACGGAGUCGUAGAUGCGGAGCUAGACAGGUCAAAUAUAAAGGGAACACCUAAAAAGGGGGGAAGCGGAAAGCUGCCCCCUAGUUUCAUUCAAAUGAAAGAGGAUCUAGGGCUACAGGACAUCUGGCGACAUAGACAUAGUAGAGAGCGGGAUUACACGUUCCUAUCGCAAAGACAUCUGACAUGGUCUAGAAUAGAUAUGGUGUGGGGGACCAAACUGAUAGCUUCACAAGUAGCUUCUAUCCGAAUACUACCAAGAUUAUACUCUGACCAUGCCCCUAUCGAAAUUAUAUUGGAGGAGAAAAGGCACUCAAAGGGGGAGUACAGAUGGAGGCUAAAUGAUAUGUUGUUAAAAGAGCCUAUGGACCAAAACAGGUAUAGGAAGGUUCUGACUGAAUACUUUCGACUGAAUAAUGAAAAAGACAGUGAUAUAAAUUCUAUUUGGGAUGCAAGUAAAGCAUAUAUCAGAGGACACUUCAUACAACAGAAUAUAAGAAAGAAUAGAGACAAAAGAGACAAACAAAAGGAUCUAGAAGGAAGGAUUACUGCCUUAGAGGAAAAGAUUAAGACUAAUCCGUCAGACAAGGAGUCAACUUUCAAAUUGGAGGCAGUGAAAAAGCAAGUAGAAAGUUUACAAUUAGAAGAAAUUGGAAAGAAAAUGACAUACAUAAGGCAACAAAAUUUUGAAAAUGCGAACAAGAUAGGAAAAUGGUUAGCGAGAAAGAUAAAUAAAAGGAAACAUCAACAAUACAUUGAUAAAAUUCAAGAAGAUAAUAACACAUAUUUGGAAUGGAAAGAAAUAGAAAAUCAAUUCGUUACGUAUUACAGGAAAUUAUACACAGAAGAUAAUAUCUCAAGGGAGAAGGUUAUGCAAUAUUUAGGGAGACAAAAUAUUAAGAAAAUAUCAGAAAGUCAAAGAGAAUGUUUGAACAAAAAAAUAGAAAUAGAAGAAAUUGAGAAAGCCAUUCAAAGAUUACCCCCUAAUAAAGCCCCGGGGCCGGACGGGCUAACAUCUAUUUACUACAAAACAUUCCACGAUAUACUAUGUUCUCCUUUACAAAAGGUUAUGAACAGAAUUUUAGAGGGGGGCAACGUCCCGCAAACAUGGGAAAAUGCCAAUAUAGUAUUGAUCCCAAAAAAAAACACGGAUAAUGUCAAAGUCGCUAACUAUAGACCAAUCUCACUGACAAAUGUAGACUAUAAAAUCUUUUCCAGCAUUCUGGCGGAUAGGUUGAAAAAUGUGUUGGUUGAAAGAAUUCAUGAGGAUCAAUGUGGAUUCUUACCAGGCAGACAACAAAAAGAAAAUAUAAGAGUACUUCUAAAUGCGAUUGAGUAUUAUGAAAAAAAUAGACAAAAAGAGGUAGCCUUCUUAUUUUUAGACGCCGAAAAGGCUUUUGACAGUGUAAACUGGUUCUGCAUGUUUGAAAUACUGGCAGAAAUGGACAUAGGGUUUUUCUUUAAGAACGCUAUAAAAAAGAUCUACUCACAACAAAGGGCAAGAAUUAUAAUAAACGGACAAUUAUCAGACACAAUAGAAGUAGAAAAAGGAACAAGGCAGGGGUGCCCCCUAUCUCCUCUUCUUUUUAUCUUAACAGCAGAGAUUCUUCUGGAGGCAAUCAGGAAAAGAGAGGAUCUGAAGGGACUGAGAACUAAAAAUAAUAGUUUUAAAAUACGAGCCUAUGCAGAUGACAUAGUGUGCAUAAUUGAGGACCCCUUGAACCAGAUAAUGGCAUGGAUGGAAGCUAUUGAAAGCUUCGGGGAGGUAGCCGGAAUAAAGAUAAAUAGGGAUAAAACUAAGAUUUUGACAAAGAAUAUGUCACAAACACAAAAAGCGGCAAUACAAAUAAAAACAGGGAUUGAAGUAGUCAAAAAAAUCAAAUAUCCUGGGAUAGAGUUUACUGCAAGCAAUACUCAACUGGAAAAAAACAAUUAUGAUAAAAAAUGGAGAGAAAUAAAGAAGAAAUUAAAGAGGUGGGAGUCGUUACCGAUUUCCCUCCUAGGAAAAAUUGCAAUAAUAAAAAUGAAGGUCUUAGCUGAAAUUCUAUUUCUAUUUCAGAACUUACCUAUUCUGAAAAAUAGAAAACCACUGGGUGAAUGGCAGAGAGAAACGAAUAAAUUUAUUUGGGGCAGGAAGCGCGCAAGGAUUAAAUUUCAAUAUAUGAAGGACGAUACGCAGAGAGGGGGUCUGGGUGUUCCGGACUUUCAAUUGUAUUAUGACGCUGCCGCACUGGAGUGGGUUAAGGAUUGGGCCACCCUGAAGAAAACCAGGCUUCUGGCCCUAGAAGGCCAGGAUCUGAACAAGGGUUGGCAUGCUUAUAUAUGGAAAAGGGAAGGUUUCAAAGAAAGGAAUUUUAAUAAUCAUUAUCUUAGAAAAGCUCUAUUGUUAAUAUGGGAAAAAUAUAAAUCUAGAUUUCUUAGCAAGACUCCAUUAUGGCUAUCGCCACUUGAAUUAGAGCAUAAAAGAGAGAUUCCCAAGGAAAGGUGGUUGACAUAUAAGCAAUUGUUAAAGAUAGACAACUCUGGAAUACAGCUUAAACCCUUCGAGGAGAUUAAACAAAUUGAGCCAUCCUUAACCUGGCUAAAUUAUUGGCAGAUCAGGGAACGUUUUAAAGCAGAUAAUCAAAUAGGUUUUGAGAGAAGUAACACAGUGUGGGACAAGGUUCUAAAACUCGAGACAAGAACAAUAAAAAUGUUAUAUCAGCAACUGCUAAUAUGGGAAACUGAAGAGGUUCACGUUAAAGAAAAUAUGAUUACAUGGGCAAGGGAAUGCGGGCACACUAUAAUGUUCGGGGAGUGGGAAAGAUACUGGCAAAAGAAAAUUAAAUACACAUAUUCAACUAUGUUAAAAGAAAGCUGGUAUAAAAUUUUUUACAGGUGGUAUAUCACACCAGCAAAAUUAGCAAAAUUUAAUAAAGGAAAGUCGGGUGACGAAUGCUGGAAAUGUAAGAAAUCAAAGGGGGAUCUUUAUCAUAUGUGGUGGGGGUGUAAGAAGAUAAAAGGUUUCUGGAGAUCAAUUCAGAAAGAGAUGGAAAUCAUUUUUCAAAGAAAGUUUGUAUUAAAACCUGCAUACUUCCUAUUAGGACUAACAGAUUUUUUUAAGGACUUGAACAAUGAAAAACUGUUCAUAUACAUGAUAAGUGCAGCCAGAUUGGUGAUUGCGAAGAAAUGGAAGACACCGGAAGUCCCGUCACUGGAACAAUGGAUACUUAAACUGAUGGACAUUCAGAAUAUGGACAUCUUAACGCAGAUAAUUUCACAAAACACUCAUAAAGGAAUAAAAACGGACUGGAGUAAACUAUGUACAUACUUAAAGGAAAAAAGGAAUUUGGACACAUAAAGGAGGCAUUCUCGGGGACUAAGUUUUUUUUUGCUACGGGGCAUGAGAAUAAAAGAGAAUUUUUCGAAUGUCAAACGCAGAGCAGGGGAGCUGGAAGGUCUAGAUGGUGGGGGGUAUAGGGGGAAGGUAGUUGUGUUCAUUUGUAUGUUUAAUGUUUAUUUUUUCAUUUAUUUAUUUAUCUUUUUUUUUUUUUUCUCUAUGUCUACGUGUGGUUCGCAUGUGUUCCCCUGUUUUAUUCUAUCUAUAAUAUAAUAAAUAAAAGGAUGAAAAAAAAAAAGUCAGAGCACUGUGACUCCUACUGGGGAAUGUAGAGGAGUUGUAGUUCACCUACACCCAGAAUCUUAUGAACCCAAACAAUGAUGGCUCUGGGUCAAACUUGCUAUGCAUACCUGAUAUGCCCAGAUUUGAAUACUGGUGGGUUUUGAGGGGAAUUGCCCUAGACAUUUGGGAGUAGUAGGUACUGGGAUUUAUAGUUCACCUGCAAUGAAUGAGCACUCUGAACCCCUCCGAUGAUGGACCAGGACCAAACUUGGCACAUAGAGCCCCCAUAAACAAAAGAGCAUAUUGGACAAGUUUGUGGGAAAGGGAAUUACAGUUCAUCUGCAUCCAGAGAAACAGUGAUCCCCAUCGACAAUGGAUCGGGACCAAACUUCGCACAGAGAAGCCUCAUGACCAACUGAACAUACUGCAGGGGUUUGUGGGAAUGGGCCUUGAAUCUGGGAGUUGUAGUUCACCCGCAUCCAAACAGUACUGAACCCAGCCAACAAUGGAUCUGGACCACACUUGGUACACAGAACCAAAAUGGCCAACUUUGAAUACUGGCAGAUUUGGGGAGGAUUGAAUCACGAUUCUGAGAAUUGUAGUUCACCCACUCCAAACUGAGAAUACCUAACAUUCAAAGACAAACAGUGCCUUUCUCAAACGACCCGGGCACCAUCGGGUCCCCAAGCUAGUUAAGAAAUAAAGUGAAGUGAAAUGAAGAAGUGAAGUUUUUUUUAAAAAAUGUUGUGUUUUCAAAUACAGUAGAGUCUCACUUAUCCAACACUCGCUUAUUCAACAUUCUGGAUUAUCCAACGCAUUUUGUAGUCAAUGUUUUCAAUAUAUCGUGAUAUUUUGGUGCUAAAUUCGUAAAUACAGUAAUUACAACAUAACCUUACUGCCUAUUGAACUACUUUUUCUAUCAAAUUUGUUGUAUAACAUGAUGUUUUGGUGCUUAAUUUGUAAAAUCAUUACCUAAUUUGAUGUUUAAUAGGCUUUUCCCUAAUCUCUCCUUAUUAUCCAACAUAUUCGCUUAUCCAACGUUCUGCCGGCCCGUUUACGUUGGAUAAGUGAGACUCUACUGUACAUUACAACUUGUACCCUCGGUUCGCUUCUGACACGAUCAAUAAAUAAAUAAACCACAACAGUAUGAAGGGGUUGAGAUCCACUGAUUUCAAAGAAGCUCCUUUGCUUUGCUAAGGAAGGGAUCAGGAAGACGGGCAGAGCCGCUUGGGGCUCCCCGACCUGUGACGAAAGGGGAAGCCGAGGGCGGGCCCCUUCCUCUCCCACUCGGACUUCUCACGCACUUUAAAGAGAAAGACGCCCACAAAAGGCAAGAGCCAGCGCCGCGUUUGAAUCCGCCAACGGGGAGCUGAGCCAGCUGCCGACGUCGGAGCGGAUCGGGGCGGCGCUCCGGCUUGGCUGCACUGCCUUGGAGCUGUUUGUUCAGACCCGGGCUGGCGGGAAGAGAAGCCGGAUCGGGAAAGCGAAAGGCAGUGAGAGAGAGAGAGAGAGCGAGGGAGGCUCAUUCAGUCAUUACUGCUUCUUCUCUUCGGCUGCCAUGCCUGGCGAAGGAGGGCUUUGCCCCGUCUAGAAAGCCGCCAGCAGCCUCCCCUCCCCACCCGCUUAUGUACAUACGACAGAAAACCAUGAGGGAAACUAUGCCCCAGACGCCAAUAUUUUCCAGUAUGCUUGGUUCUGGAUGUAGUGGGCAAGUGCAGCCAGAUACCAGUGAGCGGAGCAGCGAUCCCAUUUAUCAGGAUGGAAAUCUUAUUUCUGGUUCACUGGAGGCCC